UACGUAGGGUGCGAGCGUUAAUCGGAAUUACUGGGCGUAAAGCGUGCGCAGGCGGUGAUGUAAGACAGUUGUGAAAUCCCCGGGCUCAACCUGGGAACUGCAUCUGUGACUGCAUUGCUGGAGUGCGGCAGAGGGGGAUGGAAUUCCGCGUGUAGCGGUGAAAAUGCGUAGAUAUCAGGAGGAACACCGGGUGGCGAAGGCGGUUCUCUGGGCAUUACCUGACGCUGAG
rnacentral:rRNA from 1 species